UUGCAGUGGGCGCAAGCCUGAGCAGCCUGCCGCGUGUGUGAAGAAGGCCUUCGGGUUGUAAAGCACUUUCAGUCAGGAGGAAAGGUUAGUAGUUAAUACCUGCUAGCUGUGACGUUACUGACAGAAGAAGCACCGGCUAACUCCGUGCCAGCAGCCGCGGUAAUACGGAGGGUGCGAGCGUUAAUCGGAAUUACUGGGCGUAAAGCGUACGCAGGCGGUUUGCUAAGCGAGAUGUGAAAGCCCCGGGCUCAACCUGGGAACUGCAUUUCGAACUGGCAAACUAGAGUGUGAUAGAGGGUGGUAGAAUUUCAGGUGUAGCGGUGAAAUGCGUAGAGAUCUGAAGGAAUACCGAUGGCGAAGGCAGCCACCUGGGUCAACACUGACGCUCAUGUACGAAA
rnacentral:rRNA from 1 species